UACCAGCACCCCGAGUGGUCGGGACGUUUAUUGGGCCUAAAGCGUCCGUAGCCGGUUCUACAAGUCUUCCGUUAAAUCCACCUGCUUAACAGAUGGGCUGCGGAGGAUACUAUAGAGCUAGGAGGCGGGAGAGGCAAGCGGUACUUAGUGGGUAGGGGUAAAAUCCGUUGAUCCAUUGAAGACCACCAGUGGCGAAGGCGGCUUGCCAGAACGCACUCGACGGUGAGGGAUGAAAGCUGGGGGAGCAAACCGG
rnacentral:rRNA from 1 species